rnacentral:rRNA from 1 species
CCUACGGGUGGCAGCAGUGAGGAAUAUUGGUCAAUGGGCGAGAGCCUGAACCAGCCAAGUCGCGUGAAGGAUGAAGGAUCUAUGGUUUGUAAACUUCUUUUAUAUGGGAAUAAAGUGAGGCCCGUGUUCCUUUUUGUAUGUACCAUAUGAAUAAGCAUCGGCUAACUCCGUUCCAGCAGCCGCGGUAAUACGGAGGAUGCGAGCGUUAUCCGGAUUUAUUGGGUUUAAAGGGAGCGUAGGUGGUUAAUUAAGUCAGCGGUGAACGUUUGUGGCUCAACCAUAAAAUUGCCGUUGAAACUGGUUGACUUGAGUAUAUUUGAGGUAGGCGGAAUGCGUGGUGUAGCGGUGAAAUGCAUAGAUAUCACGCAGAACUCCGAUGGCGAAGGCAGCUUACUAAACUAUAACUGACACUGAAGCACGAAAGCGUGGGGAGCAAACAGGAUUAGAUACCCGUGUAGUC